rnacentral:rRNA from 1 species
UACGUAGGGUGCAAGCGUUUAAUCGGAAUUACUGGGCGUAAAGCGUACGCAGGCGGCUAUGUAAGACAGGUGUGAAAUCCCCGGGCUUAACCUGGGAACUGCAUUUUGUGACUGCAUAGCUAGAGUCUGUCAGAGGGGGGUGGAAUUCCACGUGUAGCAGUGAAAUGCGUAGAGAUGUGGAGGAACACCGAUGGCGAAGGCAGCCCCCUGGGAUAAGACUGACGCUCAUGUACGAAAGCGUGGGGAGCAAACAGG